rnacentral:tRNA from 1 species
GGGCAUUUGGUCUAGUGGUAUGAUUCUCGCUUUGGGUGUGGGAGGUCCCGAGUUCGAUUCUCGGAAUGCCCC